rnacentral:rRNA from 1 species
UACAGAGGUCUCAAGCGUUGUUCGGAUUCAUUGGGCGUAAAGGGUGCGUAGGUGGCGCGGUAAGUCGGGUGUGAAAUCUCGGAGCUUAACUCCGAAAUUGCAUUCGAUACUGCCGUGCUUGAGGACUGGAGAGGAGACUGGAAUUCAUGGUGUAGCAGUGAAAUGCGUAGAGAUCAUGAGGAAGACCAGUGGCGAAGGCGGCUCACUGGCCCGAUACUGACGCUGAGGCACGAAAGCGUGGGGAGCAAACAGG